rnacentral:rRNA from 1 species
UGGCGAACGGGUGAGUAACACGUGGGUGAUCUGCCCUGCACUUCGGGAUAAGCUUGGGAACCUGGGUCUAAUACCGGAUAGGAGCCAUCUUUAGUGUGGUGGUUGGAAAGUUUUUUCGGUGUAGGAUGAGCUCGCGGCCUAUCAGCUUGUUGGUGGAGUAAUGGCCUACCAAGGCGGCGACGGGUAGCCGGCCUGAGAGGGUGUACGGCCACAUUGGGACUGAGAUACGGCCCAG